rnacentral:rRNA from 1 species
AUUGAACGCUGGCGGCAUGCCUUACACAUGCAAGUCGAACGGUAACAGGUCUUCGGAUGCUGACGAGUGGCGAACGGGUGAGUAAUACAUCGGAACGUGCCCGAUCGUGGGGGAUAACGAAGCGAAAGCUUUGCUAAUACCGCAUAAGAUCUACGGAUGAAAGCAGGGGACCGCAAGGCCUUGCGCGAACGGAGCGGCCGAUGGCAGAUUAGGUAGUUGGUGGGAUAAAAGCUUACCAAGCCGACGAUCUGUAGCUGGUCUGAGAGGACGACCGGCGACACUGGGACUGAGACACGCGCCAGACUCCUACGGGAGGCGGCAGUGGGGAAUUUUGAACAAUGGGCGAAAGCCUGAUCCAGCCAUGCCGCGUGCAGGAUGAAGGCCUUCGGGUUGUAAACUGCUUUUGUACGGAACGAAAAGACUCUUUCUAAUAAAGAGGGUCCAUGACGGUACCGUAAGAAUAAGCACCGGCUAACUACGUGCCAGCCGCCGCCGUAA